rnacentral:rRNA from 1 species
CCUACGGGAGGCAGCAGUGGGGAAUAUUGGGCAAUGGGCGCAAGCCUGACCCAGCAACGCCGCGUGAAGGAAGAAGGCUUUCGGGUUGUAAACUUCUUUUGUCAGGGACGAAGCAAGUGACGGUACCUGACGAAUAAGCCACGGCUAACUACGUGCCAGCAGCCGCGGUACUACGUAGGUGGCAAGCGUUAUCCGGAUUUACUGGGUGUAAAGGGCGUGUAGGCGGGGAAGCAAGUCAGAUGUGAAAACCACGGGCUCAACCUGUGGCCUGCAUUUGAAACUGUUUUUCUUGAGUGCUGGAGAGGCAAUCGGAAUUCCGGGUGUAGCGGUGAAAUGCGUAGAUAUACGGAGGAACACCAGUGGCGAAGGCGGAUUGCUGGACAGUAACUGACGCUGAGGCGCGAAAGCGUGGGGAGCAAACAGGAUUAGAUACCCCUGUAGUC